rnacentral:rRNA from 1 species
AACGUAGGCACCAAGCGUUAUCCGGAUUUACUGGGCGUAAAGCGCGGUCAGGCGGCCGACCAAGUCGGGCAUGAAAGCGCACGGCUCAACCGUGCGAGGCUGUCCGAUACUGGCCGGCUUGAGGGCAGGAGAGGGUGGUGGAAUUCCGGGUGUAGUGGUGAAAUGCGUAGAGAUCCGGAGGAACACCAGUGGCGAAGGCGGCCACCUGGCCUGCCC